UACGUAGGCAGCGAGCGUUGUUCGGAAUUACUGGGCGUAAAGAGUGCGUAGGCGGUUUUCUAAGUUUGGUGUGAAAUCCCUCGGCUUAACCGGGGAACUGCGUCUGAUACUGGAUGGCUUGAGUUUGGGAGAGGGAUGCGGAAUUCCAGGUGUAGCGGUGAAAUGCGCAGAUAUCUGGAGGAACACCGGUGGCGAAGGCGGCAUCCUGGACCAACACUGACGCUGAGGAGCGAAAGCCAGGGGAGCAAACGGG
rnacentral:rRNA from 1 species